ACGGCUGUAACAUGUUGAAACACCGGUACCGGUACGAUCAACGAAGUUAAGCAUCGUCGAGCAUGGCCAGUGCCUACAUGGGUGACCGUUUGGGAAUACCAGGUGUU